AGCUUUAAAUUUCUCAGAAAAGAGAACUGAAUUAUCAAACAAAACCCAGAAAAAUUACAACAACGAAUAUUGAAGCUUCAAAGUGGUUACAUUUACUCCAUAUAUUAAAAAACAAAAAGCUUAAGACUUUUGCAUCGAUUGCAACUGCAAGAAGCUUUUCUGAUGAUAUGGCUAGCUUUUAUCCAUGUGACUGAUUCAUGAAAACGAAUCACUGCUGUUGGGUCGAAUCCAUCAACUUUCUCGAGACAGAAAUUGACCUAACGACCACCUUAAUUACUU
rnacentral:lncRNA from 1 species